rnacentral:rRNA from 1 species
GACGAACGCUGGCGGCGUGCUUAACACAUGCAAGUCGAACGGAAAGGCCCCCACCUUGGUGGGGGUGCUCGAGUGGCGAACGGGUGAGUAACACGUGGGUGAUCUGCCCUGUACUUCGGGAUAAGCUUGGGAAACUGGGUCUAAUACCGGAUAGGACCAUGGUUUAGUGUCUCAUGGUGGAAAAAUUAUUGUUUUGGUGCAGGAUGAGCUCGCGGCCUAUCAGCUUGUUGGUGGGGUAAUGGCCUACCAAGGCGUCGACGGGUAGCCGGCCUGAGAGGGUGGACGGCCAGAGUGGGACUGAGAUCCGGCACAGACGCCUAGGGGAGGCAGCAGUGGUGAAUAGUGCACAAUGGGCGGAAGCUUGAGGCAGCGACGCGGCGUGGGGAAUGACGGCCUUCGGGUUGUAAACUCCUUUCGUUAGGGACGAAGCCACACCUUUUUUGGGUGUGGUGACGGUACCUUUGUUAAGAAGCACCGGCUAACUACGUG